rnacentral:rRNA from 1 species
UACAGAGGGGGCAAGCGUUGUUCGGAAUUACUGGGCGUAAAGGGCGCGUAGGCGGCCUUCUAAGUCGAACGUGAAAUCCCCGGGCUCAACCCGGGAACUGCGUCCGAUACUGGAAGGCUUGAAUCCGGGAGAGGGAUGCGGAAUUCCAGGUGUAGCGGUGAAAUGCGUAGAUAUCUGGAGGAACACCGGUGGCGAAGGCGGAUUCCUGGCCGAGUUCGUACGCUGAGGCGCGAA